UUUCAGUCUCUAGUCGUUCUUGUCGUUUUAUUUUGGCUCCAAUCAUUUACUUUAGAGUUUGAGUUGUCAUGAUUGGUUUUUCCUCGAGUCUUUAGCUCUUGCAAGCGUUACCCUUUUGUGGGUUAUAGGAAUGCUGCAAGGAUUGAGAAGUUCUUAGGUCUUGUAGCUUCAAUAGAUUGGGAGCUCUUUAACAAGACUUUGCAGAAUUCCCUAGUCCACUGGUUGAUAGGAAAGAAUGAAAAGGGUAGACUAAUACCCUGGUGGUUUCAUUUCAGC
rnacentral:lncRNA from 1 species